UACGUAGGGGGCAAGCGUUGUCCGGAUUUAUUGGGCGUAAAGAGCGUGUAGGCGGCCUGACAGGUCUGCUGUGAAAACUCGAGGCUCAACCUCGAGAUGUCGGCGGAAACCGUCUGGCUAGAGUCCGGAAGAGGAGAGUGGAAUUCCUGGUGUAGCGGUGAAAUGCGCAGAUAUCAGGAAGAACACCUAUGGCGAAGGCGGCUCACUGGGGCUUUUCUGACGCUGAGGAACGAAAGCCAGGGUAGCGAACGGG
rnacentral:rRNA from 1 species